AAAACUCCCAACCCAUGUUUACUUACCUUCCCCGUUGACCUGUACGGACUUUUGUCCAGGGGUCGCGGGCGUUGCUUCGGCUUUUCUUCGGGAAAGCCGGAGGUUCUAAACUUUACUUUCAAAAGUAUCUCUGAGGCCUAUUGGCAACUAUAACAACUUUUAACAACGGAUCUCUUGGCUCCAGCAUCGAUGAAGAACGCAGCGAAAUGCGAUAAGUAUUGUGAAUUGCAGAAUCCAGUGAAUCAUCGAAUCUUUGAACGCACAUUGCGCCCGCCGGAAUUCCGGCGGGCAUGCCUGUUCGAGCGUCAUUUCAACCCUCAAAUCCCCAGGAUUUGGUGUUGGGACGUCCGCGUCAGCGGGGGUCCUCAAAUCUAUAGGCGGUACCGCACGGCACUGAACGCAGUAAUUUUUAUUCGUUUAGUUAGUCUGGCGGCUGCUUGCCUCUAAAGUUUUUUUCUAAGGUUGACCUCGGAUCAGGUAGGAAUACCCGCUGAACUUAAGCAUAUCAAAA
rnacentral:rRNA from 1 species